rnacentral:rRNA from 1 species
UACGAAGGGGGCUAGCGUUGCUCGGAAUCACUGGGCGUAAAGGGUGCGUAGGCGGGUUUUUAAGUCAGAGGUGAAAUCCUGGAGCUCAACUCCAGAACUGCCUUUGAUACUGAAAGUCUUGAGUAUGGGAGAGGUGAGUGGAACUGCGAGUGUAGAGGUGAAAUUCGUAGAUAUUCGCAAGAACACCAGUGGCGAAGGCGGCUCACUGGCCCAUAACUGACGCUGAGGCACGAAAGCUAGGGUAGCAAACGGG